GCAGCAGGCGCGAAAACCUUUACACUGCACGCCAGUGCGAUAAGGGGACCCCGAGUGCGAGGGCAUACAGUCCUCGCUUUUCUGGACCGUAAGAAGGUCCAAGAAUAAGUGCUGGGCAAGACCGGUGCCAGCCGCCGCGGUAAUACCGGCAGCACGAGUGAUAGCCACUAUUAUUGGGCCUAAAGCGUCCGUAGCUGGCCGAACAGGUCCAUCGGGAAAUCCACCCGCUCAACGGGUGGGCGUCCGGUGGAAACCAGUCGGCUUGGGGCCGGAAGACCAGAGGGGUACGUCCGGGGUAGGAGUGAAAUCCCGUAAUCCUGGACGGACCACCGGUUGCGAAAGCGCCUCUGGAGAACGGACCCGACAGUGAGGGACGAAAGCUUGGGUCUCGAACCGGAUUAGAUACCCGGGUAGUCCAAGCUGUAAACGAUGCUCGCUAGGUGCGGCGCAGGCUACGAGCUUGCGCUGUGCCGUAGGGAAGCCGAGAAGCGAGCCGCCUGGGAAGUACGUCCGCAAGGAUGAAACUUAAAGGAAUUGGCGGGGGAGCAC
rnacentral:rRNA from 1 species